rnacentral:misc_RNA from 1 species
AAGCGUCCGCUUCAGGAACAGCCGCAGGAAAAUGAGCACGAGGACAGCGGUGCACGGCAGGAAGAUGAUCUGGUACCGGGUGUAAGCGAUCCCGCCGAGCGAAACGUUGCCGAGCAGCGUCACCGGGUNNNNNNNNNNNNNCGGCUGCACGCCCCAGAUAAGCCGCUGCAGAUUUUCAAGCACCAAAAACAACGCGAACGUCACGAGAAGCUGCAAGGCUUCUUCCUUUGCGUAGAUACGCUGAAGAAAAAACCUUUCCAUUGCUCCGCCGA